UACGGGGGGGCAAGCGUUGUUCGGAAUUACUGGGCGUAAAGGGCUCGUAGGUGGCCAACUAAGUCAGACGUGAAAUCCCUCGGCUUAACCGGGGAACUGCGUCUGAUACUGGAUGGCUUGAGUUUGGGAGAGGGACGCGGAAUUCCAGGUGUAGCGGUGAGAUGCGUAGAUAUCUGGAGGAACACCGGUGGCGAAGGCGGCGUCCUGGACCAACACUGACACUGAGGAGCGAAAGCCAGGGGAGCAAACGGG
rnacentral:rRNA from 1 species